UACAGGGGGGGCAAGCGUUGUCCGGAAUUACUGGGCGUACAGCGCGCGCAGGCGGUUGAACACGUGCCGUGUGACAGACGUCGGCUUAACCGACGUAGGCCAGGGUACACGGUUCGACUGGAGGCAGAGAGAGGGAUGUGGAAUACCCGGUGGAGCGGUGAAAUGCGUAGAUAUCGGGAGGAACACCAGUGGCGAAGGCGACUACCUGGCCUGUUCUUGACGCUGAGGCGCGAAAGCUAGGGGAGCAAACGGG
rnacentral:rRNA from 1 species